CCUGGUGGGCUGCCGUCUAUGGGGUCGCACAGAGUCGGAUACAGCUGAAGCGACUUGGCAGUAGCAGCAGCAUCACUAAGUAAAGGUGCUCCUUGAACAGUGUUACAUCAGAGAUUUAAUGGGAAAUUUUCUUUUCAAUGAAAUAUGAAAAUUUCUCAUUAAAUGCUUUAAUUUACUUGGAAAUCCCUGUGGUCCCUAGACAGGAAGCUUCAGCUUAUGUGAAACGCUUUCCUUUUUUUCAUCUUUGUGUUCUAGGGUAGUGACUACAUAGAGAAAAAUGUUAUCUUGACUGCCGCUCUCACCCUUUGCCAGUAGAGGGCGGUGUCCUCCAUAUGCUUAGCCCACUCCUUACCUCUUUCCAUAUUGCCCUGGGCUCAACACUCACAGUAUCAAGACACUACCAUCUGCUUGUGUUAGCGAUGUCCUGUGAUCAGUGUGCCUGCUUAAGAUCCUAGUGUAUGCAGCAGUAACAUUUUCUGAUUUUCAGUGCAAAAUAGGAUCUCUUGAUUCACGCAUAUCUGUCUGCUUAUAUUCCCUUAACAAUUCCCAAAACCUUUGUGCAUAAUGGUCCCAAGAUGAAAGUAUAUGUUGAGAUUUCAAAAAAGUAGCUGUGAACUCUUGGCCCCAUUUUGAAACAAGCAUUGUCUUUUAAAAUUGCCCUCCAGCUCAGAAGCCUCAUCUUUUUGCACAAGUUGCACUGAUGAUAUACAUGCUUGUGGACAAAAUUACUGAGACUUCAAAGCAACACGGUACUGUGUGUUCCUUUGCCUUGAAGGCAUGCUUCUCUUUCCCUCCACUGUUUUACUAGAAUGGACAGGUACCCAUUUGACAUGUUUUGGCUGGGGCCCCACCAGGAGCAGUCAGCAUUGCGCAUGGGUGUACCUCCUGCUUCAGUGUUAAAGUCCUGGACAAAUAUUGUGAAAUAAAUGCGUGUUGAUUCUGGGGUCAGGGAAUGAGAGCACAGCCAGAGUUUACACCCUAGUAAAGAAAAUAAUUACUUUAAGAUAUGAUAGCAUAAGAAGAAGGCAAUGGCAACCCACUCCAGUACUCUUGCCUGGAAAAUCCCAUGGACGGAGGAGCCUGGUAGGAAGGAGGCAUACACACCCUUUUCUUAGCAUGUGUAAGACCACUUCCUUGGCUGAUAUGUAACAUGUCUAGUAGAUAACACUUUGCCCACCUUGGGCAGGAACGUGGAUACAUAAGGCUCUCCUGAUUACAAGAGAUGGGGAGAAAUGGAUUAGGUAAGGCUCUGAAGGAGGUAGAAAGUCACUGGUACAAGGAAAUCAGUGACCUAAAUCUUAGGGUGACUACCAGUUUGGUAACUAGAUUAGUUAUGCGGUAAAAAUUGAUUCUCAUCAAUGAGCUCAAUGUGUACAGUGAUAUAAUUAAUAAGUUGACGAUGAAACACUUGUCUUUACCCAAAAACUUUAGAGGUGGUUACAUACACUGAAUCCUCACUUUGUGACUAUAAAUUGAUUGUCUAGUUUGACUUAAUGGAAUAAGAUCCUGGUCAUUUUAAAAAUACAGUUUUACCUCUAAUGUAGUUUAGAAAAAUGAAAUAGCAAAGCGCUUUUCUAAGACGCGGGAUGUCUUUAGGAGUCAUAGAGGGCUCAGUUGACAUUCUGGGUAGAUCCUGGAACAUGAGCUGGGGCUUUGGUAAUCUGACUUCAUAUCUAAUGCAGGCCACAUCUCGGUUACAGACUCUAGGCUCCCGGAUUCAGUCUUCUGCCUUCUGACCUAAUUUACCACCAUGUCUCUUCUUUUUUGGUGAAUAAACAGUGUCUAUGGGGUUAGUGUGUUUGAGGCAAACAUAUUGUUUCUACAGGAAUCAGGUAGCCCUAGAAGUCGUUGGGGAACCACCUGUCCGGUAGAGUCACACAGUUGGCCUACGUGCAAGAUAAAUAGCGUUUCCUGGCAAACCUGAACAAUGCAGAGCUUAGACUCCAAAGCUCCAUUGUAGGGAGCUGCUGCUGUGACUUCAGCAACAAGACCGAAACUUUGGCUCAUGGGUCACUAACUGAGGAAGUCAAUGUCCUGGGCAGCCACUGAGAAGCAGAUGCCUUGCUCUGGGAGAUUCAAGUCUAAGAGGGGACAUGCUCCUACUGCCAGACAGUGCCAAUGAGAGUUUCUAGCUCAUCUGUUGCUUCUGGGGUUUUCCUCUGAAUUAGCCAGCAAUUUUCAACGAUGAAAAUUAUGGUGACGAUAUUCCCAGCCCAAAAUUGGGACCUGUGCUGUCAUGAAGUUUUGUCCUACUCCUCACUGGAAAAAACAGUCUAAGAUACAGUCUGGAUCUCAGAGUAUUAGCAUUUCUGUGAUAUUUUUAUAGUUUAAGGAACCAACGUGUGAAACACUUAAAACCGGAUUGUUCCAGGAAAUGCAUGUGCCUUGUAUAAAAAGUGUAACAGAUGUUAACAGCAGAGUUGAGAAUAGUACAUAACGCCCACUAAAGCAUGAGUUCCCUUUCA